rnacentral:rRNA from 1 species
UACGGAGGGGGCGAGCGUUGUCCGAAUUUAUUGGGCGUAAAGCGCGUGUAGGCGGACCAUCAAGCCUGAGGUGAAAGGUUGGGGCUCAACCCCAUACAGUGCCUUGGGGACUGUUGGUCUGGAGGCAGGCAGAGGUAUGUGGAAUUCCUGGUGUAGCGGUGGAAUGCGUAGAGAUCAGGAAGAACACCCAUGGCGAAGGCGGCAUACUGGGCCUGUACUGACGCUGAGACGCGAAAGCGUGGGGAGCGAACGGG